UACGUAGGGGGCAAGCGUUGUCCGGAUUUAUUGGGCGUAAAGAGCGUGUAGGCGGCCAGACAGGUCAGCUGUGAAAACUCGAGGCUCAACCUCGAGACGUCGGUUGAAACCGUCUGGCUAGAGUCCGGAAGAGGAGAGUGGAAUUCCCGGUGUAGCGGUGAAAUGCGCAGAUAUCGGGAAGAACACCCGUGGCGAAGGCGGGUCUCUGGGUCGAUACUGACGCUGAGGAGCGAAAGCGUGGGGAGCGAACAGG
rnacentral:rRNA from 1 species